AGACCUCUAUGGAAAAGA
rnacentral:rRNA from 1 species